GUGAUUUGCGCGAGUCACACCUGCGAUUUGAGUCACACCUGUUACGGCUUAAUUACUCGCGCAUGCGCGGUGGAUUUACCACGCACAGCAGGAGUUCCAGAUGACUGGAGGAUGUCUGCUGAUGUGAUCUCCUAAAAGGAAGGAUGUUUGUUCCAAUCCCACGAUGACUCACUGCUUUCUUUCUGCCAUUUGACCUCUGACACUCUCACCCUGACCUCCGACCUCCAGAGGAACCAUUGUGUGUGAGAGGAAGAUGGACGCCUCCUCAGCCUCAGAGAGAGCCCCACGCUACAGCGGCAGGUGUGCAGGCAGCUGUCUGCUGGAGUCUCCCUGCAUGGGGAAGUGGAAGGGACAGAGACGAGCCUGAACCUGCAGAAGCUGUACAGAACGUUCACAGCCGUGUGCUUUUAAAUAAACAGCAGUUUAAUGAGAACGCAAAGCUGUUACAUCUACAGCAGAAUUAGGUUUAAAAAUGGAAAGAUUCAGCUCCGACUCCUUGUGGCAUACUGAAGAUAACUUCGGAUCAUCCCAGUAAACCUCACAGAUGAAUAUUGUGGCACACAGAAUCUCCUUUGCAUUGCUGCAUCACUUAAAGUAUAUAUUAGUACUGGGACAAAGCACAAAGCAGUCAGAAGUAAAUUCACUGCAUCCAUCAACCAAAUUCUCGGGUAAAAUAGCUGCUGUUGUGGAUACCGGUGCAGGCUGGUGCAUAAUGGAUUUUUUCUUAAGGUGGUCGGACUUCUUAAGGUAGACUUUCUAUGUUAAAUGCAACUGCCAGAGGGUGACUGCUAAAGCUGAGCUAUGUAGUUCUGUGCAGGUUACAGGAGAUAAAGAGCAGGUAGGGAUCUUUACUGAGCAGGUUCAUUACAGAGAAGGCUGAGAUCUUUGCAUAGCAGGUUCUUUAUUGAGCUGUUGGAUCUUUACAGAACUCCUCUGUCUCUGGGUGUCAGAGCUCUGAGAGGAAUGUGCCGUUGUUCCGGAAGGUUCUACCAGACCUGAAAUGAGCCAUUGGGUCUGGUACAGACCAGCAUGCUUUUGUCAUGUCCAUACA